UGGGGAAUAUUGCACAAUGGGCGAAAGCCUGAUGCAGCAACGCCGCGUGAGUGAUGAAGGCCUUCGGGUUGUAAAGCUCUGUCUUCUGGGACGAUAAUGACGGUACCAGAGGAGGAAGCCACGGCUAACUACGUGCCAGCAGCCGCGGUAAUACGUAGGUGGCAAGCGUUGUCCGGAUUUACUGGGCGUAACGGAUGCGUAGGCGGAUACUUAAGUCAGAUGUGGAAAUCCCGGGGUUAACUUGGGAACUGCAUUUGAAACUGGGUCUCUAGAGUGCGGGAGAGCAAAGUGGAAGUCCUAGGGUAGCGGUGAGAGGCGUAGAGAUUAGGAAGAACACCAGUGGCGAAGGCGACGUUCUGGACCGUAACUGACGCU
rnacentral:rRNA from 1 species